rnacentral:misc_RNA from 1 species
AACGCACCUUGCGCUCCUUGGUAUUCCGAGGAGCAUGCCUGUUUGAGUGUCAUUAAAUUAUCAACCUCUCCUAGCUUUUCUAUGAGCUAGUGAGAGGCUUGGAUGUGGGGGUUCUUUUGCUGGCUUCAAAGAAUGAGGUCGGCUCCCCUGAAAUGCAUUAGCGGAAUCCCUUGUGAACCGUCUAUUGGUAUGAUAAUUAUCUAUGCCGUUGACGCGACGCACUUUUGUAAUGGGUGUUCAGCUUCUAACAGUCCAUUGAAUUGGACAAUACUUAAAUGACAAUUUGACCUCAAAUCAGGUAGGACUACCCGCUGAACUUAA